rnacentral:rRNA from 1 species
UACGUAGGUGGCAAGCGUUGUCCGGAUUUACUGGGCGUAAAGAGCGCGCAGGCGGUCGUUCAAGUCGCGUGUGAAAGCCCCCGGCUCAACUGGGGAGAGUCACGCGAUACUGAUCGACUCGAAGGCAGGAGAGGGAAGUGGAAUUCCCGGUGUAGCGGUGAAAUGCGUAGAUAUCGAGAGGAACACCUGCGGCGAAGGCGGGUUGCUGGGCUGAUACUGACGCUGAGGCGCGAAAGCCAGGGGAGCGAACGGG